AUCGGACAAACUUCGUCGAAAAUCUAACUGAUAUAUCUAACAAACCCAUACAAAUAUCAUAAUAAUGUAUAAGAACAGGUGGUAGUUGUGCUAUAGAUCAUUAAUUAUAAAACGGUAGUAUGAAUUUUAUUAAUCUGGUAGUGUAUCGACUUUGGUAAAAGGAAAUAAUUCUUGCCGAAGAAUAUCGGAUCUGUAAGAACUAUCCAACAAUUGACUACGUAAUCUGUAUUUUAUAGUGGAGAUAAUUACAGUUGCAUUAAGAAGGGUCUAAAAUCUAAAAGGUGAACAUGAUUCGUAUGUACGCGGUUUACGAGUGCGUGAAGAAUAGUGGGGUGCAGUGAUGCGCGGAGCGGCCACUCCGCAGCGCUCCCCUUUCAGUAGGAACUCAGAAUAAGGGGACCCCAAGAACUGGCCUGCCCCACGAUCAACCACCUAACACGUCAUUUCUCGGGACUAACAAGAGAUAUCGAGGUUCCUCGUUCUGUUUCAUCGACUUCCAUUGAGAGAUGUUUCUUAGAAAUGUGAUCAUGGACACCAGCAUCAUCUUACACAACGUUGUGGACAAAAAUGCAGCUUAUGUAAGUAAUUGUAUGGUAGCAGAAAAUUUUCUUCAAAUGAUCGACCGAGUUAUGAAUGAAACUACGAGGAUAACGGGUGGAUUGUCAACCUCCUAGCUCGAGAUGUUUGUCUGUUCAAUGGGGAGCCUUGCGGUGUAGAAACUGUUCGAGGAAUGCGUGUAAUGCGUAUACGUACACGUCACGCCUACUCAUCGUUGCUGUCACGUACGUGGCUCAUCGUCAUGUACGUGCUUCUCUACCUGCGUACGUAAGCUAGUACGAAUAUGUACACGUAUUGCGAGAACGCUUUACAUGUCAACCUCGAUAGUGUAUUUCUUCUUGGCCGUACAUCCGUGUUCUUAU